rnacentral:rRNA from 1 species
GGUUAAGCGACUAAGCGUACACGGUGGAUGCCCUGGCAGUCAGAGGCGAUGAAGGACGUGCUAAUCUGCGAAAAGCGUCGGUAAGGUGAUAUGAACCGUUACAGCCGGCGAUGUCCGAAUGGGGAAACCCAGUGCAAUUCGUUGCACUAUCGUUAACUGAAUACAUAGGUUAACGAGGCGAACCGGGGGAACUGAAACAUCUAAGUACCCCGAGGAAAAGAAAUCAACCGAGAUUCCCCCAGUAGCGGCGAGCGAACGGGGAGCAGCCCGGAGUCUGAAUCAGCUUGUGUGUUAGUGGAAGCGUCUGGAAAGUCGCAGGGUACAGGGUGAUACUCCCGUACACUAAAACGCACAGGUUGUGAACUCGAAGAGUAGGGCGGGACACGUGGUAUCCUGUCUGAAUAUGGGGGGACCAUCCUCCAAGGCUAAAUACUCCUGACUGACCGAUAGUGAACCAGUACCGUGAGGGAAAGGCGAAAAGAACCCCGGCGAGGGGAGUGAAAAAGAACCUGAAACCGUGUACGUACAAGCAGUAGGAGCCCACUAGUUGGGUGACUGCGUACCUUUUGUAUAAUGGGUCAGCGACUUAUAUUCUGUAGCAAGGUUAACCGUAUAGGGGAGCCGCAGGGAAACCGAGUCUUAACUGGGCGUUAAGUUGCAGGGUAUAGACCCGAAACCCGGUGAUCUAGCCAUGGGCAGGUUGAAGGUUGGGUAACACUAACUGGAGGACCGAACCGACUAAUGUUGAAAAAUUAGCGGAUGACUUGUGGCUGGGGGUGAAAGGCCAAUCAAACCGGGAGAUAGCUGGUUCUCCCCGAAAGCUAUUUAGGUAGCGCCUCGUGAAUUCAUCUUCGGGGGUAGAGCACUGUUUCGGCUAGGGGGUCAUCCCGACUUACCAACCCGAUGCAAACUACGAAUACCGAAGAAUGUUAUCACGGGAGACACACGGCGGGUGCUAACGUCCGUCGUGAAGAGGGAAACAACCCAGACCGCCAGCUAAGGUCCCAAAGUCAUGGUUAAGUGGGAAACGAUGUGGGAAGGCCCAGACAGCCAGGAUGUUGGCUUAGAAGCAGCCAUCAUUUAAAGAAAGCGUAAUAGCUCACUGGUCGAGUCGGCCUGCGCGGAAGAUGUAACGGGGCUAAACCAUGCACCGAAGCUGCGGCAGCGACACUAUGUGUUGUUGGGUAGGGGAGCGUUCUGUAAGCCGUUGAAGGUGGCCUGUGAGGGUUGCUGGAGGUAUCAGAAGUGCGAAUGCUGACAUAAGUAACGAUAAUGCGGGUGAAAAACCCGCACGCCGGAAGACCAAGGGUUCCUGUCCAACGUUAAUCGGGGCAGGGUGAGUCGACCCCUAAGGCGAGGCCGAAAGGCGUAGUCGAUGGGAAACAGGUUAAUAUUCCUGUACUCGGUGUUACUGCGAAGGGGGGACGGAGAAGGCUAUGUUGGCCGGGCGACGGUUGUCCCGGUUUAAGCAUGUAGGCGGAUGUUCCAGGUAAAUCCGGAACGUUACUAACGCUGAGGUGUGAUGACGAGGCACUACGGUGCUGAAGUGACAAAUGCCCUGCUUCCAGGAAAAGCCUCUAAGCAUCAGGUAACAUCAAAUCGUACCCCAAACCGACACAGGUGGUCAGGUAGAGAAUACCAAGGCGCUUGAGAGAACUCGGGUGAAGGAACUAGGCAAAAUGGUGCCGUAACUUCGGGAGAAGGCACGCUGAUGGUAGGUGAAGCGACUUGCUCGUGGAGCUGAAAUCAGUCGAAGAUACCAGCUGGCUGCAACUGUUUAUUAAAAACACAGCACUGUGCAAACACGAAAGUGGACGUAUACGGUGUGACGCCUGCCCGGUGCCGGAAGGUUAAUUGAUGGGGUUAUCCUCGCGGAGAAGCUCUUGAUCGAAGCCCCGGUAAACGGCGGCCGUAACUAUAACGGUCCUAAGGUAGCGAAAUUCCUUGUCGGGUAAGUUCCGACCUGCACGAAUGGCGUAAUGAUGGCCAGGCUGUCUCCACCCGAGACUCAGUGAAAUUGAACUCGCUGUGAAGAUGCAGUGUACCCGCGGCAAGACGGAAAGACCCCGUGAACCUUUACUAUAGCUUGACACUGAACACUGGUCCUUGAUGUGUAGGAUAGGUGGGAGGCUUUGAAGUGUGGACGCCAGUCUGCAUGGAGCCAUCCUUGAAAUACCACCCUUUAAUGGCUGGUGUUCUAACGUGGGCCCGUAAUCCGGGUUGCGGACAGUGUCUGGUGGGUAGUUUGACUGGGGCGGUCUCCUCCUAAAGAGUAACGGAGGAGCACGAAGGUCAGCUAAUCCUGGUCGGACAUCAGGAGGUUAGUGCAAUGGCAUAAGCUGGCUUGACUGCGAGCGUGACGGCGCGAGCAGGUGCGAAAGCAGGUCAUAGUGAUCCGGUGGUUCUGAAUGGAAGGGCCAUCGCUCAACGGAUAAAAGGUACUCCGGGGAUAACAGGCUGAUACCGCCCAAGAGUUCAUAUCGACGGCGGUGUUUGGCACCUCGAUGUCGGCUCAUCACAUCCUGGGGCUGAAGUAGGUCCCAAGGGUAUGGCUGUUCGCCAUUUAAAGUGGUACGCGAGCUGGGUUUAGAACGUCGUGAGACAGUUCGGUCCCUAUCUGCCGUGGGCGCUGGAGAAUUGAGGGGGGCUGCUCCUAGUACGAGAGGACCGGAGUGGACGCAUCACUGGUGUUCGGGUUGUCAUGCCAAUGGCAUUGCCCGGUAGCUAAAUGCGGAAGAGAUAAGUGCUGAAAGCAUCUAAGCACGAAACUUGCCCCGAGAUGAGUUCUCCCUGACCCUUUAAGGGUCCUGAAGGAACGUUGAAGACGACGACGUUGAUAGGCCGGGUGUGUAAGCGCAGCGAUGCGUUGAGCUAACCGGUACUAAUGAACCGUGAGGCUUAACCUU